AUUGAACGCUGGCGGAAUGCUUUACACAUGCAAGUCGAACGGCAGCACGGGGGCAGCCCUGGUGGCGAGUGGCGAACGGGUGAGUAAUACAUCGGAACGUGCCCGGUCGUGGGGGAUAACGUAGCGAAAGUUACGCUAAUACCGCAUACGAUCUGAGGAUGAAAGCGGGGGACCUUCGGGCCUCGCGCGAUCGGAGCGGCCGAUGUCAGAUUAGGUAGUUGGUGUGGUAAAGGCCUACCAAGCCGACGAUCUGUAGCUGGUCUGAGAGGACGACCAGCCACACUGGGACUGAGACACGGCCCAGACUCCUACGGGAGGCAGCAGUGGGGAAUUUUGGACAAUGGGCGCAAGCCUGAUCCAGCCAUUCCGCGUGCAGGACGAAGGCCUUCGGGUUGUAAACUGCUUUUGUACGGAACGAAAAGGCUCUGGCUAAUACCUGGGGCUCAUGACGGUACCGUAAGAAUAAGCACCGGCUAACUACGUG
rnacentral:rRNA from 1 species